GACGAACGCUGGCGGCGUGCCUAAUACAUGCAAGUUGAGCGCUGACGGUUGGUACUUGUACCGACUGGAUGAGCAGCGAACGGGUGAGUAACGCGUGGGGAAUCUGCCUUUGAGCGGGGGACAACAUUUGGAAACGAAUGCUAAUACCGCAUAAAAACUUUAAACACAAGGUUUAAGAUUGAUAGAUCCAUUUGCAUCACCCAAAGAUGAUCCCGCGUUGUAUUAGCUAGUUGGUGAGGUAAAGGCUCACCAAGGCGAUGGUACAGAGCCGACCUAAGAAGGUGGUCGGCCACAAUGGGACUGGGACACGGCCCAAGCUCCUACGGGGGGCAGCAGGAGGGAAUCUUCGGAAAUGGAGGAAAGUCUGACCGAGCAACGCCGCGGGAGGGAAGAAGGUUUUCGGAUCGUAAAACUCUGUUGGUAGGGAAGAACGUUGGUGAGAGUGGAAAGCUCAGCAAGUGACGGUAACUACACAGAAAGGGACGGCUAACUACGUG
rnacentral:rRNA from 1 species